rnacentral:tmRNA from 2 species
GGGGGUGUUCUGGCUUCGCCUGUAUGGUGAACCCUUUAGAAGCGGACCGAGGAGUUCCUUUCACUCGUUAAACACUGGGAACUUAAAAUUAUCUGCAAACGAUAAUAAUUACGCUUUAGCUGCCGCGUAGGUGGCUAACGCCUGACUGACCCCUGUCUGUGGGGUUAACUCAGGUGUCAUAUAAAACAGACUAACUGUCUUCUGAUGCCUGUAGGAAGACAGGACAAUAAACAGGCUUGCAGCAGUAAAUCCUGUCUGAUGGAGUUGCUGCUGUGAAAAUAAAAAUCAGACUACGUUCGUAGAAACUACUGGGUGAGCCAUACAGUACGUGGGUUCGACUCCCACCACCUCCACCA